GGGCCAUUAGCUCAGUUGGUUAGAGCGUCUGCCUCUUAAGCAGAAUGUCCCGGGUUCGAGUCCCGGAUGGCCCUCCA
rnacentral:tRNA from 1 species